rnacentral:rRNA from 1 species
GGAUGCGAUCAUACCAGCACUAACGCACCGGAUCCCAUCAGAACGUGCUUGGGCGAGAGUAGUACUAUGAUGGGUGACCCCCUGGGAAGUCCUCGUGUUGCAUCCC